CACAAAAUGACUCUCGGCAACGGAUAUCUCGGCUCUUGCAUCGAUGAAGAACGCAGCGAAAUACGAUACUUGGUGUGAAUUGCAGAAUCCCGUGAACCAUCGAGUCUUUGAACGCAAGUUGCGCCUGAAGCCAUUAGGUUGAGGGCACGCCUGCCUGGGUGUCACA
rnacentral:rRNA from 1 species